UACGGAGGGUGCGAGCGUUGUCCGGAAUCAUUGGGCGUAAAGGGCGCGUAGGUGGCCCGGUCAGCGUGCGGUGAAAGCUCGGGGCUCAACCCCGAGUCGGCCGUGCGAACUGCUGGGCUGGAGCACUGUAGAGGCAGGCGGAAUUCCGGGUGUAGCGGUGGAAUGCGUAGAGAUCCGGAAGAACACCGGUGGCGAAGGUGGCCUGCUGGGCAGUGGCUGACACUGAGGCGCGACAGCGUGGGGAGCAAACAGG
rnacentral:rRNA from 1 species